UAACGCGUGUUUUUCGGUGACCUUUAAACCGGAAACAUUAAAUGUAAACACUGCGAACACUUGGAGGUGAGGGUGUUUCACCUCAUGCAACAUUAAAAAUGUCUAAAAAUAAAAGAAUAGCGUUGAUAUUUGGAGGAUUUGUAACGGCCGUUGCUGCCGCGUUUUACCCCAUAUUCUUCUACCCGCUCGCGCACAAAGAUGAGUACAGAAGUGUCCAAAAGUCGAACCGGGCAGGAGUCAACCAGGCGGAUGUUCAACCUGUCGGUGUGAAGAUAUGGUCGGAUCCAUUCAAGCCUGCAGGCAAAUGACGACCAGCGGCUGCUCCACUGAUCCCACUGACACUGAUGAGGACUUCUAUCAGAGAGCGCCUUUUUGNUGAGUGCUUGGUGUGCGCGUGAGUGAAUGUUUUCCAGAGUGUGUUUGUUUUUUUGGUUGUUAAGUGUUUCCUUAAAUCUUAAAAAUAAAGUGUAAAGCUCAUUCAUCUAAAAAAAAAAUCUCUAAAUGACUUGUUAAUAUCAGUUUUGCUUUGAUGGGUAUGGUGAUGUGAAACAAAGUAAUCUACACAGAGGGUGACAGACAUGAGACAAGUAGCGUCAUGUUUACUUUCUACUACAAUUCACUUAUCUUAUAAAUCAGGGGUCUUUAAUAUUUUUUAGCUGAAAGAGAGACGGAGCAGGGACCCCUCACUAUGUAGAUUAUAUGAUAUUAUCAGCUAAUAUGAUUGCACAAGGAAUCAUGGGUAACAAUUAGCAUGAAUCUUUGCUUAUAAUAUCUUGGAUCCAUGUUAAUGUGUCUUUCAGUCAGUCAAUGUUCCUGCAGUAACCCUGAGGACCCUCUAGGGGUCGCUGACCCCCUGUUGAAGACCCAGGUUUUAAACGUCCAAGAUGAAGUGUCUGCAGGUCCUUAAAAAGUGUCACAAUGUCCUCAGUUUUAUAAAUAUUAGGCUUUAAAAGACAUUCAAUUGUGGUACAUUUGAAUUUUUGAGGUCUUAAUCGCCACAAACAUUUUAUUUAAUUUCAUUUAUCACAUUCUUUCAUGUCCUGCUGAGAAAAACCUUCAAAAUUGUAACUUAUCAACACACUAAAAAACUGUUUUGGGUGUGAAGCAUUAUUUUUAAAGGAUUUAUUUACAUGAAAUAAAUAUGAUUUCUAAAA